UAGAUUAGGUAAGAUUAGGAAGGGUUAAAGUUAGGAUUAGUGGGUAAAAUUAGAUGAGAUUAGGAAGGGUUAAGGUUAGGAUUAGGGGGUUAGAUUAGGUUAGAUUAGGAAAGCAUUAAGGUUAGGGUUAGGGGGUUAGAUUAGGUAAGAUUAGGAAGGGUUAAGGUUAGGAUUAGGGGGUAAAAUUAGAUGAGAUUAGGAAGGGUUAAGGUUAGGAUUAGGGGGUUAGAUUAGGUUAAAUAAGGAAAGAUUUAAGGUUAGGGUUAGGGGGUAAGAUUAGGUUAGAUUAGGAAAGAUUUAAGGUUAGGUUUAGUGUCUAGAAUCU
ensembl:lncRNA